CUCCUAUGAUCGAUUAAGGAAGGUGGUUAUGGCUGGGUGGUUUGUGGGGGUUUUUUGUUUUGUGUUUUUUUCUUUUUCCUUUUUUUUUUUUAAACCUUAAGCUUUAAGUUGAAACAUUCUCCGAUGUCUGGGGGGAAAACAUCCUCUUAAAAUGGGUCCUUGUGCUUGCCUUCUGGGGAGGCGGUCCUGAGCAGGUGAAUCACAUGGCAUUUAUGCAUAUGUUAUAUGCGGACUGCACCCACCUUCCCCCCAGCCUUUGCCUCCUGGGUUGUUGAUGCUACUUUCCCCUUACUUUGCUACAUUUCUAUAGUUAAGUUGGUUUUACUUGAAUGAUUCAUGUUUAGGGGGGGAAAAAAUGAAAAUACCCUUAAAAUUUGUUUCAACUCCUCCUGCAAAUAAAAAAAAUAAAUGAAGUGGCAGAUGU
rnacentral:lncRNA from 1 species